ACAUCCAGAGAAUUUAGCAGAGAUGCUUUAGUGCCUUCGGGAACUCUGAGACAGGUGCUGCAUGGCUGUCGUCAGCUCGUGUUGUGAAAUGUUGGGUUAAGUCCCGNAACGAGCGCAACCCUUAUCCUUUGUUGCCAGCACGUAAUGGUGGGAACUCAAAGGAGACUGCCGGUGAUAAACCGGAGGAAGGUGGGGAUGACGUCAAGUCAUCAUGGCCCUUACGAGUAGGGCUACACACGUGCUACAAUGGCGCAUACAAAGAGAAGCGACCUCGCGAGAGCAAGCGGACCUCAUAAAGUGCGUCGUAGUCCGGAUUGGAGUCUGCAACUCGACUCCAUGAAGUCGGAAUCGCUAGUAAUCGUAAAUCAGAAUGUUACGGUGAAUACGUUCCCGGGCCUUGUACACACCGCCCGUCACACCAUGGGAGUGGGUUGCAAAAGAAGUAGAUGGCUUAACCUUCGGGAGGGCGUUUACCACUUUGUGAUUCAUGACUGGGGUGAAGUCGUAACAAGGUAGGCGUAGUGCU
rnacentral:rRNA from 1 species